rnacentral:rRNA from 1 species
UGGGGAAUAUUGCACAAUGGGCGCAAGCCUGAUGCAGCCAUGCCGCGUGUGUGAAGAAGGCCUUCGGGUUGUAAAGCACUUUCAGCGAGGAGGAAGGUGGUGAGCUUAAUACGCUCAUCAAUUGACGUUACUCGCAGAAGAAGCACCGGCUAACUCCGUGCCAGCAGCCGCGGUAAUACGGAGGGUGCAAGCGUUAAUCGGAAUUACUGGGCGUAAAGCGCACGCAGGCGGUUUGUUAAGUCAGAUGUGAAAUCCCCGGGCUCAACCUGGGAACUGCAUUUGAAACUGGCAAGCUAGAGUCUCGUAGAGGGGGGUAGAAUUCCAGGUGUAGCGGUGAAAUGCGUAGAGAUCUGGAGGAAUACCGGUGGCGAAGGCGGCCCCCCUGGACGAAGACUGACGCUCAGGUGCG